rfam:Caenorhabditis briggsae complete genome, chrX
GCCGAUCCUUGGCUGGGAUAUGAGCAAACGUGUACACGAUACUUAUUCCCUGUACCCGUAUUCUCAUAUCUGAGCCAAGGAUCGUC